rnacentral:rRNA from 1 species
GACCACCGAGAUCUACACUCUUUCCCUACACGACGCUCUUCCGAUCUCGAUAGUGAACCAGUACUGUGAAGGAAAGGUGAAAAGUACCCCGAACAGGGGGGUGAAAAAGAACCUGAAACCGUUCGCUUACAAGCGGUCGGAGUCCCAUUAAGGGAUGACGGCGUGCCUUUUGCAUAAUGAGCCUACGAGUUGUUUCUCACUAGCGAGGUUAAGUACUUCAGGUACGGAGCCGAAGCGAAAGCGAGUCUGAAAAGGGCGGCUUAGUUAGUGGGAGCAGACGCGAAACCUUGUGAUCUACCCUUGACCAGGUUGAAGGAGCCGUAACAGGCUGUGGAGGACCGAACCAGUAUCCGUUGAAAAGGAUUUGGAUGAGUUGAGGGUAGGGGUGAAAGGCUAAUCAAACUGGGAGAUAGCUCGUACUCCCCGAAAUGUCUUUUGGGACAGCCUCAAGUAAUAGCUUAACGGAGGUAGAGCUACUGAUUGGAUGCGAGGGCUUCAUCGCCUAUCAAUUCCUGACAAACUCCGAAUGCCGAUAAGUUUUAAUUGGGAGUGAGUCGCCGGGUGCUAAUGUCCGGUGGCGAGAGGGAAAGAGCCCAGACCAACAGCUAAGGCCCCCAAACGUGUGUUAAGUUGAAAGAACGAUGUUCGGUUGCAGCGACAGCUAGGAUGUUAGCUUGGAAGCAGCUAUUCAUUUAAAGAGUGCGUAACAGCUCACUAGUCGAGCGACUGAGCGUGGAUAAUAAACGGGCAUCAAGCACACUGCCGAAGCUAUGGACUGUAAAACAUUACAGUGGUAGGGGAGCAUUCUAGUCAGCGUAGAAGGUGAUUCGUAAGGAUUGCUGGAGUGGUUAGAAAAGAAGAUGUAGGCAUAAGUAACGAUAAUGCAGGCGAGAAACCUGCACACCGUAAACCCAAGGUUUCCUGAUCAACGUUAAUCGGAUCAGGGUUAGUCGGGACCUAAGGAGUAGCCGAAAGGCGAAUUCGAUGGACAAAUGGUUAAUAUUCCAUUACCUGUAUAUUGAGUUAAGGAGAGACGUAGAAGUGACACACACGCCAACUGACGGAAUAGUUGGUUAAAUGCUGUAGGUAUAUUUAGGGGUUAAAAGCUUUUAGAUGCUUAAGGCAGACAGUACGGUAAGUUUUCGGACGAGCCGAUAGUUGUGGUAAUCAGACUACCAAGAAAAUCUUCGGCGCGCUAAUUAAUAUACAGCCCGUACCGUAAACCGACACAGGUGGGUGAGGAGAGAAUCCUAAGGUGCUCGAGUGAAUCAUGGCUAAGGAACUCGGCAAAUUAACCCCGUAACUUCGGGAUAAGGGGACCCUAGAGAUAGGGCGCAGAGAAAUGGCCCAGGCGACUGUUUAACAAAAACACAGGGCUUUGCUAAAUCGCAAGAUGAAGUAUAAGGCCUGACACCUGCCCGGUGCUGGAAGGUUAAGAGGGGAUGUUAGAAGCAAUUCGAAGCAUUGAAUCGAAGCCCCAGUAAACGGCGGCCGUAACUAUAACGGUCCUAAGGUAGCGAAAUUCCUUGUCGGGUAAGUUCCGACCUGCACGAAUGGUGUAACGAUCUGGGCACUGUCUCAGCCAUGAGCUCGGUGAAAUUGUAGUAGCGGUGAAGAUGCCGCUUACCCGCAACGGGACGGAAAGACCCCGUGAACCUUUACUGCAACUUAGCGCUGAUUUUGGGUAAUUGAUGUGUAGGAUAGGUGGGAGACUGCGAAGCGGGUACGCUAGUAUUCGUGGAGUCGUUGUUGAAAUACCACCCUUUGAUUAUUUGGAAUCUAACUUCGCGAGAAAGACACCGCUUGGUGGGUAGUUUGACUGGGGUGGUCGCCUCCAAAAGAGUAACGGAGGCUUCCCAAGGUGCACUCCGCACGGAUGGUAAUCGUGCAAAGAGUAUAUUGGUAUAAGUGCGCUUGACUGUGAGACCGACAAGUCGAACAGGUACGAAAGUAGGGCAAAGUGAUCCGGUGGUUCCGCAUGGGUGGGCCAUCGCUCAAAGGAUAAAAGGUACUCCGGGGAUAACAGGCUGAUCGCUCCCAAGAGCUCAAAUCGACGGAGCGGUUUGGCACCUCGAUGUCGGCUCGUCACAUCCUGGGGCUGGAGCAGGUCCCAAGGGUUCGGCUGUUCGCCGAUUAAAGUGGUACGUGAGCUGGGUUUA